rnacentral:rRNA from 1 species
UGCCAGCAGCCGCGGUAAGACGGAGGGCGCAAGCGUUGUUCGGAAUUACUGGGCGUAAAGCGCGGGCAGGUGGUCCGUUAAGUCGUUUGUGAAAAUCCGGGGCUCAACCCCGCGAAAUGCAGACGAUACUGGCGGACUAGAGAUUGGUAGAGGCUAGCGGAAUUCCAGGUGUAGCGGUGGAAUGCGUAGAUAUCUGGAAGAACACCAGUGGCGAAGGCGGCUAGCUGGGCCAAGUCUGACACUCAUCCGCGAAAGCGUGGGGAGCAAACAGGAUUAGAUA